GUGGUGGCUCAGCGGUAGAGCACUCACCUAGCAAGUGUGAAGUGCUGGGUUUGAUCCUCAGCACCACA
rnacentral:tRNA from 1 species